rnacentral:rRNA from 1 species
CCUACGGGGGGCAGCAGUGGGGAAUAUUGGGCAAUGGGCGAAAGCCUGACCCAGCAACGCCGCGUGAAUGAAGAAGGCUUUCGGAUUGUAAACUUCUGUCCUCUGGGAAGAAAAAAAUGACGGUACCUGAGGAGUAAGCCACGGCUAACUACGUGCCAGCAGCCGCGGUAAUACGUAGGUGGCGAGCGUUAUCCGGAUUUACUGGGCGUAAAGAGAGCGUAGGCGGGACUACAAGUCUGAUGUGAAAAACACGGGCUUAACCUGGGGAUUGCAUGGGAAACUGUAGAUCUUGAGUACAGGAGAGGCAAGCGGAAUUCCUAGUGUAGCGGUGAAAUGCGUAGAUAUUAGGAGGAACACCAGUGGCGAAGGCGGAUUGCUGGACUGCAACUGACGCUGAGGCGCGAAAGCGUGGGGAGCAAACAGGAUUAGAUACCCUGGUAGUC